rnacentral:misc_RNA from 1 species
CUUCACUGCGCAACAUGGAUGCACGGGGCCGACACAGCGCCUGUAGACACCUCUUCCAAACUCACAUGCGUUGAGGGAGCUUACCAUCCACUGCACCGUGGCGUUCGCUUGUCUCACAUCCGCAAGUGUUACUUCAUUUACUGUUGAAGGGCGCAUCUUCUCUCCGCUUCCGCACGUUUAUUUCUUUUUUUUUUCCGCUGCACCGCCAUGCCAUCCUCGUACGUGUGCGUUCUCCACUCCAGCAAUGGCUACUACACGGACGAUUUAGUCGGCAACGCGCUGCGUUGUGUGCAUGCGCUGCAGUGCAGCUUGCGCGCCGGCGCACCUGACUUCAUUCCAUCCAUUGCCGUCUUCUUUGCGGACCCGCACAGAGGCGUCAAAUGCGUGUACUCUUCGGCGGUGCCAGACCGCAACCAUGCCUUGGAUCGAGUGGGGGCUACCUACCCCGUCUUGUCAGAUGCGACAGGGUCGGUGUUCUCACCCGAUGAGGACGGUGGGGGCGGGUGGAGGGGGGGUGACACCGCAGAGAGGACCGUCGCCUUUGCGCAGCUUUUUCGUUUGCGCUCUCCGCAAAUUCUUCAGCAGGCGAUACUGAGUGCAGUACAGGAACACAACAGCACCGUGCCAACCGCUGGUGCAAAGGCGGACGCAUCAUCCGUGAAGGGGUUCAGUGAGACUUCCCCUGCACCCUCGGCAUCUGCGUCGCCGUCUUCCGAUGCCACGAGCAUGUGGAGCUCUCUGGCGGGGGCACUACUGGCCUCGCUCUGCUAUCUGCGCGCGCACCCCAGCAGCGCUUUUCGGGCGGCGGAUAGGGAUGAGGCAGACGGCGAGGCCGGAGAGGCACCUGGCGAAGCGGCUGCUGGGGACUCCUCCAGCAGCGAUGCCGUGAAUUCUGCACCUCCGCCGCGCAGUGCUGGAAGCGUUCUUGUGUUCAGCGACGCGAAGGCAGCUGCCGUGCCGCCGUACAGUGCGGAGUGCGCUCUCGCCAUGACAGCUGUGACAGCGAGCAAGAUGGGCGUGACUGUGUCGUGCUUCGGUGAAGCCGUGCUGCACACCGACUCGACAGAGAACCGCCUCGUGGCGCUAGCCUCCAGCCUCGGUGGCUUCUGCGCUGGCCGGUUCAGCUUGCAUGACCUCGGCCACCUGCUGGAUGGUGCGAGUGCUGCCGUCUCGCUCAUCGGCAACCGGCCCCGUCAGAGGCGGGACCGUAUUGCUUCCCAGUACGUCGUGGGGCCUACUAUGCUGCCGCAGACGCCUCUGCGAAAACGUCGCGCGGUGGAUGCUGCUUUGGCAGAGAGCUCAACGGCGGAUUUCGAGAAAGCGACGACGGAAAAAGCUGAUACCGCCGUUUCCUUUGGCGCGAAGGACGACGAGCACGCCUCCUACCUGGGCUGGUUGUGCCCUUCAUGCAUGGCGGUUAUUUAUCGUCCCUCAACAGAGGUCGCCGGUGCCACGACCUCGGAUUCCCGCACCGAGGACGGCGGCGGCAGCGGUACGGACCAGGGGAUGGGUCCCAGGUGUCCCUAUUGUAGCAAGGUGUGAGCAUAGCGGAAAAGGAGGUGACCACACUCCAGCUCUUCUCUUGCAGCUCGUACGUGCACUGUUUUUUGUUUUUUCUUGGCGACACUUGCGCGACUUGCGGUGCCGGGCACAUGGGCAGCUAUGCAACCCGAGCGAUGCCUUUUGAGGAUGGCCUGGUUCUGCUUUUCGUUGUUCUGCUCAUGCUCGUGUGAGCCUCGACAUCUUUUUGUUUUCACUGUUUGCCUCGUUUGAGCAGGCAGGCGCACAUGCACAUGUGCUCGCAGCCACGUGUGUGAGUAUGUGUGCGCGUGUGUGGCAAGACACUAAGGCGAGGUGCGGAGCGGUUCCACUGGAAGUGAGGACGAGAGCACGUUUGGUAGCGGAGUUGCACCCUCGCUCGAGGCAUCGGGAGCUGGUCUUCCUUGCGCCUGCUUCCAUCUUCAAUAGAGAGCGGAAGCUUGUGUUGGCAGAGGGCGGAAGGGGCGCCAUCGAAAC